CUUUUCCCCGGCUUUCGCAGCGCUGGGAAAGGGGGGGACGCGCUCCGGGAGCGCGGUCUCUCCAUCCGCGCCCCCCCGCGCAGCGAUGUCCCGCGGGGGGCGCGGGCGGUGCCGAAGGUGCAGCCGGCACCGAGGGAACAAAGGCGGCGGCGGCGGGGAACAAAGAGCGGCAGAUCUGCCUAAAGAAAUUCUGCAAGAUUUGGAGCUCUGAUUUUCUGCAAGGAAAGUUUUCUUUUCCAGGCAAAAGUGAAUCCUGCACCUUUUCAGUGUCAUUUCAGCUGGAGCCUGAGAAUGCACUGACUUGCAGAAGCAACAAUCAAAGCUGCCUACCACUUGACUGCCCUGCCUUGGCAAACACCUGGUCCAAUUCAUGCUUUGUUGCCAUCCUGGCAACAAACCAACCCAUGAUGGUUCUUUGUGUACUUUUUUUACUUGUUUUAUUGAGGAUUAAUUAGUGUUUGUAUAGUGACACAGCUAUCUGGUAGUCCAUGGACACAGCUGAAGGCAAAGGCCUUUGGGCUAUGCUGUGGUUUCCUAAUUCCUGUGUUAUGGCUACUGUAAUGCAUAUCCUCAAAGUGAAACAUUCUAGACUGA